rnacentral:rRNA from 1 species
UACGAAGGGGGCAAGCGUUACUCGGAAUUACUGGGCGUAAAGGGUGCGUAGGUGGUUGUUUAAGUCUGCUGUGAAAGCCCCGGGCUCAACCUGGGAAUGGCAGUGGAUACUGGACAGCUAGAGUGCGGUAGAGGGUAGUGGAAUUCCCGGUGUAGCAGUGAAAUGCGUAGAGAUCGGGAGGAACACCAGUGGCGAAGGCGGCUACCUGGACCAGCACUGACACUGAAGCACGAAAGCGUGGGGAGCAAACAGG